GGCAGUAGUGGCUCAGUGGUAGCUCAAGACGUUGGACUACUGAUUGAAGGUCAUGAGUUCAAAUCCCAGCACUGCCA